AACAAUUGUUAAAUUUAUCUGUUUAUAUAACGCUCCCUUUUUCCCUUCUCAUGAUGUUUUGACAGCGUGUGCCAACACACUCUCGCUCCCUCUUACUCGUCAGUCUCCCCCGCUGUUCAAGAAAAUGUUGCUGUGAGAUGAAAAGGUGAACUCAAGGAGGACAUUACCGUAUGCUAGCUGUGUGGUGAUGCCAGGCCAUGGAGCGUUUGGCUGUGGGUCCAGAAGACUGACGUUCUCUCCAGAUUACAUGCAAAUCGGAUGAGAUUUGACUUAUCUGGCUUCAGUAAAUAACAAAGAUAGAAACAAG